rnacentral:rRNA from 1 species
AGCGAAAAGCGAUAAGUAAUGUGAAUUGCAGAAAUUCAGUGAAUCAUCGAAUCUUUGAACGCACAUUGCGCCCAUUAGUAUUCUAGUGGGCAUGCCUGUUCGAGCGUCAUUU